rnacentral:lncRNA from 1 species
AGCGAUGGUACAACUUGUCCUCCCAGAUCCAUCGUCCUACAAGUAGUCUCUUUCGACACUCCUCUGAGUGAUGAAUCCAACUCAGAAAAAUGCACUAACUCUGAUCCGAACCAGAAAGAUCUCACCGAUGCCCAGCAAGAAACACAGAAUACAGACCCACUGAAUGGUGAGCCUAAACACUGUAAGAAGUCAGAAGAUAUACUAAAAGCCACGGAGCAGAAAGAAGCACUGAUAGAGAACUAGAUUUGACAUUUCAUAAAAGCUUCUGACAUUUCAGACAGGACAGGAGAAAAGAACUCUAGCUGUUCCUACCCUGUGCUCUCAGAGGCUGUUAUCUGUCAGCUUGUACUUGGAUCAUUCUGUUUCUGUGGAGAGUGAUUGGACAAAAUGAUCAAGAGUGCAAAAUAUAAAACCCUGCGCUGGCAACUCAAGGCACUUAACAACUUGCAAGAUUUCAGUUGUAUUUGUUGUUGCUAUUUCCUCUUCUGUACUGCUUUCUUAAACUAGCCAAAAUAAUUCUUCUGCCAAAGUUGGACAUCGCUUUAUUGCAUCACUGACACCAGACAUUUCCAGUUAACCAUGAGCUGUUACAUGUCACUGCUACUGGCAUCCAAUGCAAAUGGGAAGUCAAAAUGAAAUAUUAUUAUAGAUACUUGUUCAUGCAACCAUGCUGCAUGCAAAAUAAAAGUCCUACUUGUUAGCUUCCUUAACAUAUCUGGAAAUAAAAAUAUGUAGACUGCACAGGGAAGUUGUGGAGUUAUGCUGACCAGCCUGCAUGGCUGUCAUAUGGAGAUAACUGGUGUUUAACAAAUCAAUAUUUGAAAUAUCUCUUUAAAAUUAAUUCAAUAGCAUCCAAUAUUAAAAUUCAAACAUUCUCAGCCCUACAGUAUUUUAGAAGACAUCCAAAAUGGUGUCAGCCCUACCAUGAAGUUGGUGCUUAUUGUUUUGUAGGGCGAAAGAGACAAUGACAAAUAUGAAAAUAUAUGUCAUGUGAAAUUUUGCUUCAGUUCAGCAAAAUAUUGUGUUGCCUCUCAGGCAGAACUGUAAGGUGACUCUGAGGCCUCAUAGCAUGGUUUGUCUCAAAUGCAGUGUGGAUCCUCCAAAAUCUUUGCUAGUGUUUGUCUCAUUAAAAGAAAACACCAGGCCAACUUUCUCUGAGAGGCUGUGAAAGCAGAGCACGCAGGCAGUUACCUCUGCAAGAAGCCUCAGAAUGAGCCCUCCAGCCCAAACUGUGUUCAGCAAGAGAGAACUUUCAUCUCCACUUCCCUCAAGCUACAUGUGACCCCUUCUGGCUUGCCUGGGCAUCUCGUGCAGCUGCAGGCAACCUCAUUUCCCUCUGCUGGAACCUGCCAGGAAACUUGCACGCUCCCCUUUGCAUUGUAGGCGCUCAGGAGGCUUGGGUCACUGCAUUCACAGUUCUCCUUUUUGGACCCUGUGGUUAUUACCUCACUGACCGAAAAUGUCUUUACUAUCAGCCAUGGUCCACUCUGAAGAGGACUCAUGGGGAUGGUGACAUUCCCCUCUUUGCAGAGGCUGAUGAAGGAUUGAGACCUAUGUGCUAUUCAUCUGCUGCUUCAGGGAUCUUACCAGAGCUCAACAGGCAUCAGGCUCAACCUCAACAGGGGCACACUUUGUCCCGAUCGAAGAAGGAAUCGUAAAACCUAGACUGAGGGAUCACCCUAGACUGAGGGAUCCUUACACAUCCACACCUGGUGACUGUCUCCUUCCUGACAGUGGAGAAAUUGAGCUGUGGACAGUGCAAGCUCCAAGCCCUGCGGUAAGGGCAUGCCAAAAGGUGGAAUUCCUGUCAUUGAAUAUGUAAGCCAUAUACACACUAUGUAUAAGUAGUGUGCAUAGUUUUAACUUAAGAAAUGGUUGUGCAUAUAGGAUGUAAAAAGUGCAUUUAAAUUGUUUUGUGUAUCUGGUCCAGGGCUUGUAUUUAGCAUGGACAAAUUCUGUACAGUGCAGUUAACGAAUGAAAUGUUAACAAAUGAAAUUGUAUCAUAUAUGUUAUAAUGCAAUCAAUAUUUUUUGCUAAGAGUUAAGAAUUUAUAUAUUCUCUGCUAGUGUCUGAGCAAAUCAUUAGUAGCCUGGACCACUCCAUGCACCUUGCAUCCUUUUGGGGAACGUUGGACUCUUUUUCCGCCCCCCCCCCCCCCCUUCAAUAAAAUGUAAACCAUCUUAUGGCUUCUUCUUGUCAUUAUGACAAGAGAAGAAACAUAAUGGUCAUCGCAGACUUCUUUUUAAUUGUAAAUUGUAUAUGCUGUGGCAGUGGAAAAUCUUCUUGUUUAUGAUCUGAGAAUUUGGGACCUUAUUUCAGGUAUGCUUAGCAUCUGCAGUUCCCACCAAAUUUGAAAAGAACAAAAGAUGACUGAUAUCUUAAAAAACUAGGCCAGUUAGGUAUCUGUUACAGAGUGGUCUUCAACAUUGUAAUUUAAUGUUCACUGAGACUGAAAGUCUGGAGCAAUCAGAAUUUAACAUUUUUAUAGUAUUUUGAAUUUCAGACUUUUACGAUAGCUGAACUUGACUUCUUUUUCUGUGUCUCUGUCCCAUCAUGAUUUAUAUACUCUGCAAGAUUUUCUCCUGGAAAUACAAGCAGAAUUUAUAACAGAUUCUGCAGAGUACUCGGAGCAUCCUGUGGGGCCUUCAGUGUCCUGUUAUCAUAGCUGUCACCAAGAUCUCCCACUGCAGAAACUAGGAGCUCCUGAUCUCACAGGAGGUACUCAUUGCCUGCAGAACUCAUUCAUUAAUAUAGAAAUGUAAUUUGUGUAUAAAUAAUCCUAUUUGCUCAUUUGUAUUCAGUUUUAAUCACUGUGGUAGAUGUUGCUGAAAUACAAGAAGAAAAGUCCUUAGUUUUUCUUUAAUGCCAGCUGAUUCUCUUUCUUUCUUCCUUUGUUCUUAGCAAGACUUUACCUGGACGUGACCCAAAGCUUAGCAUGUUGUUUGGAUGAGGAGGAAUUUUCUCUGGUGGAGAAGGCUGAUAUUGCCAACAUGUGUUAAUUAAGGCUUUGACCUUGGGUGAAAUUCACGUUCAGGUGGCAGAAACGCCUCUUGAGAGGGCCUCUCCCUGAACAACAGUUUAUCUUUGAAAUCUGUAAGGCUGCGCUACCAAAACACUGCAUGGGGCCAUAAAAAAUGGUGUUUGUAUAUGCAUCUCUCCCACAGCAUUAUGGGCAUGUACCCCUGCAUUGAGCACACUGAGGAGCUGUAGCUAUAGAUUAGCCCUCAAGAGUCUUAUUUUGUAUUUUUAUCUUGAGAUAUCUGACAGAUAUAUUAUGUAAUAUUGUUAUGGGUUAUGAUCUGACAGUAUUUUUUUAUUUAAUUUUCAACAAGGCAAUCUAAAACUGUGUGUUUUUAUUCUGCUGUAUUUGUCCGUAUUUCUUAUGACGAUAUUCCCAAAUAAAUAUGAUUUGAGGGCAAG